AAGUCAUUACUGCUCCAAAGAAGGGAAUCUGAUCAAGUGUAGUGACAGAGAAAUCUAGACCUAUAUGCCAUAGGUCCUACCUUAUAUCUGCAAUUUUUGGAUUAGCUACCUGAUGGGGGAAUAUCUUUGUGUACACUGUGAAUAUGUGUUGCUCUGAUUGGUUGAUAAACAAAGAUAUUUGGCCUAUGGCAAGACAGCUUAGAGGCAGGUGGGAAAUUCAAAGAGGGAGACAGGAACAAGGCGAAAAGAGACACCAGCCGGCACCGAAGAAGAAGCAACAUGCCAACAGACCGCUUUCCUUGCAAACUAUGGCAGAAUUGGGGCACUCCGUACAAAUCUUUGACAUCACCACAUGUGUGUUGAGAAACCAAUUCAAGGAAAUAGGAUCUGCUGUAACUUACCUGAGACUUUCUUCAGCCUCAGAAAAAAGCUGUCAGAGACACAUGGUGUACUAGAAAAAGGAGGGAUUUACCCUCAGGAAUGUCUGUAUCCUAUGGUGAAGAUUUGUGUAUGAAGAUCCCAGCUUCAAUGUCCCUCCAAAGAGGUCUCAUUCUUGCACCAGAUGUCUGUGACUCUCUCAGUCUUGGGCCCAGCUGGAAAGUUCAGGCCAUCUCCCUAGCUCAAGGUUGGUUGCUACUGAUCAUCUCAUCUCAUCUCAUCUCAUCUCAUCUCAUCUCAUCUCAUCUCAUCUCAUCUCAUCUCAUCUCAUCUCAAUCUCAUCAUCUCAUCUUUUCCUUUCCUUCAUAGAAAUCAGAGUGCACAUUAUACCUCUGAUUUAUUCUGUAUGGUCCCUUACAGCUGUGAGUACAUCAGACAUCUCAGGGGGAUGUGUUUAGAAUACUGCUGCUUACUCCUGAUGGUUAGGUUUCACUGUCAAGUUGACUUGAUUUGGAAUCACUGUGGAAACAUACCUUUGGGGGCAUCUGUGAGGGUGUUUUCAGAAAGGACUCACUAGGGAGGGAAAACCCAUACUGAAUAUCAGUGGCACUAUUUCAUCAGCUAUAUCACCUGACUACAUAAAAAUCAUAAAGCAAGCUAAUAUCUGCAUUCAUCUCAACUUCUGAAUGGAGAUCCAAUGGGACAUGUUACCUCAUCUUCCUGGUGCCAUGGUAACCACUCCUCCUUGAGAGAUGAAAUAAACCCUGCCUUGGCUAAGUAACUUUCAUAAGGUAUUUUGUCACAGCAACAAGAAAAGGAAUGAACACACUAAACAGUACCCACUCCUCUGCUGCGAUGGCUCCCACUGCAGUGAGGUUUAUUCUAAAGCUUUGGUUUCUUCUUUGUGCUGAUGGCGUUACAUGCCAUUUCUGGUAAGUGACAAAUUCCAUGAAGUCUCCUGCCUCCUUUACAAUGUCAUGGAGCUGAAGGGUUGGCAGGCAUGACACCAAAGGAGAGGAAACUGAAGAUGUGGGGGAAGGUAGGGGAAUCCUGAAGCCACACACAAUCAGGAUUUAAUUAUCCCAGUAGCUGGG